rnacentral:rRNA from 1 species
AUGGCGCGAAGACUUUCGCCGGUUGAGGCAGCGGAGGGCACCGGUUCAAGCUCUGGGAUGUCCGGUUGCCGCAAAACGGGGCGCCCGUUUCAGCUGCCACCAUCUGGCUCCAGCACCGGCGGCCCCCGCGGGUUGCAGCAAAACAGGGCGCCCGUUCCAGCUCGCCACCAUCUGUCUCCAGCACCGGCGGCCCCCGCGGGUUGCAGCAAAACGGGGCGCCCGUUUCAACUCGCCACCAUCUGGCUCCAGCAUCAGCGGCCCCGCGGGUUGCAGCUCCGCUUGCUCGAUGCAGCUCCCCCACCAGUGGUUGAAGCUCCAGUAGCAGCUGGUUGUAGCUUGCCCAUCAGUGCGGCGCCGUCAGAUGCGAGAAGGAGUAGCAGUGCAGCAGCUUGA